AAAUUUUCCUGAAAAUCUCAAAAUUCCCGCUCCUCCCUCUUUUUUUUGGUCUGAUUUGGCUUUCCCCUCUUCCCAUCUUCCACCACCACUCUGCCGAAUCCCAUACGAACUGAACAUAAGAAAAAAAAACCUCAUUCGCCUCUUCCUCCAAUCUGUCGAAUCCCAUUCGAACAAGGAAAAAAAACAUUGACACAUCAUGUAAUUAAAAAACAAACAUUCACGUUACGCGUGUUUAGAGAGGGAACGAGAGAAAGAACAGUAGAGAGAAAAAGGGGGUCGAGGCCGGCGGGCCGACGCGUUGCUGGUUCGCUUACCGCCGUUCGUUGUCCGAGGGCCGUCACGGCCGAUCUUCACAAAUCUGGGGUUCGUGCCGCCAGGGGAGGGGUUUUUGGCUGGGACCGGAGAUCGCGAGAGUUGCUGCGAUGGAGGACCUCGUCGUUGUCGACUUGUGUCCGGAUCUCAAGGGGGAAGAGCUGCCGUCAUGCGAGGCAGAUGUGGGAUGCUCAGAACUCCCCCGGGAACGAAAUGGGUUGGCGAGGGGCGGGAUUGUUUCCUUGGGCGUCAGAAUCUUUGCAAAGAUUUUGAAAUUUCUUCCGUUAUUGGGCAUCGACAUUGUUUAGGCAUUGCUCCUUUCGUCAUUUUGGUGUGGUUGUCGUUCUUCCCUUGGGCAUUCAUAACUGGAGCUAUGUAAUAAGACUGAUAAGGAAUUGAGUGUCUAUUUGGACAAAGGCACAUAAGAAGAAGAAUGGUGAACCUAUCAAUUCAACUACCGGUGAAGUCAUUAGAAAUGUUCACGAAUGGAGGAGGAUGUUAGAGAGCUGAAAG